GUCCAUUCAUCAGGUAUCAAGCUGGUAUUGAUGAUUGUUGAAAAAUUGGUGAAUAAUAAUAUGAUAGCUGCUAAUUCAUUUUAUAUUUUUAGGUCUAUUUUUUUACAUUCUAUGGCCUAUUUCUUCUGGCCCUCAUACUUUUUAUUUAUUGAAUCCAUAUUCUAAUUUUGUUCUAGCACAUAUAUACUUAAGUUAUUAUGUCUUUCCAUUUUGGAUGUAACAGUUUAUUUAGUGGUACAUAUUUAGUUGAUGUCUUCUUAGUUGAUACAGUUAUAGUGAAAUGUUCAUUCAAUGUUUUUGCUCUGUCAUGGUCGUUUUCUGAUGGUACUAAGACCUGCUUUAGUCUUUAGUGGUAUACUUUGCGAGAGUUUUUUUUAUCUGACCUGGCCCUGCUAAGUGAGCUUUCCUCGUCACUUGGCGUUCGUCGUCCGAUUUCGUCUUUGUUAACUUUUACAAAAUUUCUCAGUCUCUGAAACUAC
rnacentral:lncRNA from 1 species